rnacentral:rRNA from 1 species
AGAGUUUGAUCCUGGCUCAGAUUGAACGCUGGCGGCAGGCCUAACACAUGCAAGUCGAACGGUAACAGGAAACAGCUUGCUGUUUCGCUGACGAGUGGCGGACGGGUGAGUAAUGUCUGGGAAACUGCCUGAUGGAGGGGGAUAACUACUGGAAACGGUAGCUAAUACCGCAUAACGUCGCAAGACCAAAGAGGGGGACCUUCGGGCCUCUUGCCAUCGGAUGUGCCCAGAUGGGAUUAGCUAGUAGGUGGGGUAACGGCUCACCUAGGCGACGAUCCCUAGCUGGUCUGAGAGGAUGACCAGCCACACUGGAACUGAGACACGGUCCAGACUCCUACGGGAGGCAGCAGUGGGGAAUAUUGCACAAUGGGCGCAAGCCUGAUGCAGCCAUGCCGCGUGUAUGAAGAAGGCCUUCGGGUUGUAAAGUACUUUCAGCGGGGAUGAAGGGAGUAAAGUUAA